UACAGAGGGGGCCAGCGUUAUUCGGAAUUAUUGGGCGUAAAGGGCGCGUAGGCGGCCAACUAAGCCAGACGUGAAAUCCCUCGGCUUAACCGGGGAACUGCGUCUGAUACUGGAUGGCUUGAGUCUGGGAGAGGGAUGCGGAAUUCCAGGUGUAGCGGUGAAAUGCGUAGAUAUCUGGAGGAACACCGGUGGCGAAGGCGGCAUCCUGGACCAACACUGACGCUGAGUGAGCGAAAGCCAGGGGAGCAAACGGG
rnacentral:rRNA from 1 species